GAUUAUGGCUCAGGAUGAACGCUAGCUACAGGCUUAACACAUGCAAGUCGAGGGGCAGCAUGAUCAAAGCUUGCUUGAUUGAUGGCGACCGGCGCACGGGUGAGUAACGCGUAUCCAACCUUCCCCCUAGUAGGGCAUAGCCCGGCGAAAGUCGGAUUAAUACCCUAUGUUUUCCAAUGAGGACAUCUGAGCUGGAACAAAGAUUCAUCGCUAGGGGAUGGGGAUGCGUCCGAUUAGCUUGCCGGCGGGGUAACGGCCCACCGGGGCGACGAUCGGUAGGGGUUCUGAGAGGAAGGUCCCCCACACUGGUACUGAGACACGGACCAGACUCCUACGGGAGGCAGCAGUGAGGAAUAUUGGUCAAUGGGCGCGAGCCUGAACCAGCCAAGUAGCGUGCAGGAGGACGGCCCUAUGGGUUGUAAACUGCUUUUAUGCGGGGAUAAAGUUCACCACGUGUGGUGUUUUGCAGGUACCGCAUGAAUAAGGACCGGCUAAUUCCGUGCCAGCCGCCGC
rnacentral:rRNA from 1 species